GGAAGGUCCAGGCGUUAUCCGGAUUUAUUGGGUUUAAAGGGAGCGCAGGCGGCGGCGUAAGUCAGUUGUGAAAGUUUGCGGCUCAACCGUAAAAUUGCAGUUGAUACUGGGUGUCUUGAGUACAGUAGAGGCAGGCGGAAUUCGUGGUGUAGCGGUGAAAUGCUUAGAUAUCACGAAGAACUCCGAUUGCGAAGGCAGCUUGCUGGACUGUAACUGACGCUGAUGCUCGAAAGUGUGGGUAUCAAACAGGAUUAGAUACCCUGGUAGUCCACACAGUAAACGAUGAAUACUCGCUGUUUGCGACAUACAGUAAGCGGCCAAGCGAAAGCGUUAAGUAUUCCACCUGGGGAGU
rnacentral:rRNA from 1 species